rnacentral:rRNA from 1 species
ACCCGCUGAACUUAAGCAUAUCAAUAAGCGGAGGAAAAGAAACCAACAGGGAUUGCCCUAGUAACGGCGAGUGAAGCGGCAACAGCUCAAAUUUGAAAUCUGGCGUCUUUGGCGUCCGAGUUGUAAUUUGCAGAGGGCGCUUUGGCAUCGGCAGCGGUCCAAGUUCCUUGGAACAGGACGUCACAGAGGGUGAGAAUCCCGUACGUGAUCGCUAGCCUUUACCGUGUAAAGCCCCUUCGACGAGUCGAGUUGUUUGGGAAUGCAGCUCUAAAUGGGAGGUAAAUUUCUUCUAAAGCUAAAUACUGGCCGGAGACCGAUAGCGCACAAGUAGAGUGAUCGAAAGAUGAAAAGCACUUUGGAAAGAGAGUUAAAAAGCACGUGAAAUUGUUGAAAGGGAAGCGCUUGCAGCCAGACUUGCCUGUAGUUGCUCAUCCGGGUUUUUACCCGGUGCACUCUUCUAUAGGCAGGCCAGCAUCAGUUUGGGCGGUUGGAUAAAGGUCUCUGUCAUGUACCUCUCUUCGGGGAGAACUUAUAGGGGAGACGACAUGCAACCAGCCUGGACUGAGGUCCGCGCAUCUGCUAGGAUGCUGGCGUAAUGGCUGU